CGACUCGCUUCGCAGUACAUAUUCUAAAAUUGUAACGAUACAAAGAAGAGUAGCAUGCACACGCAAAAUCGUGAAACGUUUAUGCAAGAUGAACUAAAGAUUCGA
rnacentral:snRNA from 1 species